UACGGAAGGCAGCAGUGGGGAAUAUUGCACAAUGGGCGCAAGCCUGAUGCAGCCAUGCCGCGUGUAUGAAGAAGGCCUUCGGGUUGUAAAGUACUUUCAGCGGGGAGGAAGGCGAUGUGGUUAAUAACCGCGUCGAUUGACGUUACCCGCAGAAGAAGCACCGGCUAACUCCGUGCCAGCAGCCGCGGUAAUACGGAGGGUGCAAGCGUUAAUCGGAAUUACUGGGCGUAAAGCGCACGCAGGCGGUCUGUUAAGUCAGAUGUGAAAUCCCCGGGCUUAACCUGGGAACUGCAUUUUGAAACUGGCAGGCUUGAGUCUCGUAGAGGGGGUAGAAUUCCAGGUGUAGCGGUGAAAUGCGUAGAGAUCUGGAGGAAUACCGGUGGCGAAGGCGGCCCCUGGGACGAAGACUGACGCUCAGGUGCGAAAGCGUGGGGAGCAAACGAGGAUUAGGAU
rnacentral:rRNA from 1 species